CGCGAAAACUUUGCAAUGCGGGAAACCGUGACAAGGGAACUCUGAGUGCCCGUUAAAUCGGGCUGUCCAUCGGUUUAAAUAACCGGUGAAGAAAGGGCCGGGCAAGACCGGUGCCAGCCGCCGCGGUAAUACCGGCGGCUCGAGUGGUGGCUACUAUUACUGGGCUUAAAGCGUUCGUAGCUGGUUUGUUAAGUCUCUGGGGAAAUCUUCCGGCUUAACCGGAAGGCGUCUCAGGGAUACUGGCAGACUAGGGACCGGGAGAGGUGAGAGGUACUCCAGGGGUAGGAGUGAAAUCCUGUAAUCCUUGGGGGACCACCUGUGGCGAAGGCGUCUCACCAGAACGGCUCCGACAGUGAGGGACGAAAGCUGGGGGAGCAAACCGGAUUAGAUACCCGGGUAGUCCCAGCUGUAAACGAUGCGCGUUAGGUGUAUCGGUGACCACGAGUCACCGAGGUGCCGAAGAGAAAUCGUGAAACGUGCCGCCUGGGAAGUACGGUCGCAAGGCUGAAACUUAAAGGAAUUGGCGGGGGAGCAC
rnacentral:rRNA from 1 species